rnacentral:lncRNA from 10 species
GCCUUUUCCCCAUAUCACUGAUAUCUACUGAAAGGGUGAUCCCUGCUUGUGUCCUGAAGCCCCAGGGAGGGCCACCACAGAUCUGGGCAUCCUGAUCAACAUUCAGUGGCAAGCCUGGAGGGGCAAUGCUUGCCUCCCAUUGUAUGGCAGGCCAGAUAUGUUCCUGGCCCAUCAGAAGCCUCCUUCUGGAUGCAGUCUAUAAGCCACUGUGAUGGAUGAGAAGAGCCCAGGAUGGAGGUGAAAGUCUGGAACUGGAAUCUGAGCCCUUAUUUUUCUGACUCACUGUUUUACCUUGGAAGAAUCACUGAAGUUUUCUGCAUCUCUGUUUCCUCAUAUGUUUAAAAAAGAAAGCACUUAACCUUGGUGGAUGUGAAAAAUAAAUGAAAUAAUUUCUAGAAAUGUGCCUAGUUCAAUACAUUGAAACCCAC